AUCCGAUUGCCACCCCUAUCUUAAACUUCCAUCCUUUUUCUUGAUAAAGAGUACGAGCAUCCUAUGAAAAAAUACAAGGUCUAAUAAAGCUUUAUCAAGUGGUUCCUAGAGUUGCUUCUUAAGCUCCUUCGGUUCAAUUGGGGCCAUCCGAUAGAGAGCUUUAGAGAUAGGUCCUAUACCGGAUAUUAAAUUCAUAGAAUACUCUCUCUAUCUUGAGGCAAUCCUCACAGAUCCUCUGAAAAUAUAUCUGAAAACUUUCUCACUAUCAGAAUACUUUCCAGCUUUAGCCCUUCCU
rnacentral:lncRNA from 1 species